GAUGAACGCUAGCGACAGGCUUAACACAUGCAAGUCGAGGGGCAGCAUGAUUUGUAGCAAUACAGAUUGAUGGCGACCGGCGCACGGGUGAGUAACGCGUAUGCAACUUACCUAUCAGAGGGGGAUAGCCCGGCGAAAGUCGGAUUAAUACCCCAUAAAACAGGGGUCCCGCAUGGGAAUAUUUGUUAAAGAUUCAUCGCUGAUAGAUAGGCAUGCGUUCCAUUAGGCAGUUGGCGGGGUAACGGCCCACCAAACCGACGAUGGAUAGGGGUUCUGAGAGGAAGGUCCCCCACAUUGGUACUGAGACACGGACCAAACUCCUACGGGAGGCAGCAGUGAGGAAUAUUGGUCAAUGGCCGAGAGGCUGAACCAGCCAAGUCGCGUGAAGGAAGAAGGAUCGUAUGGUUUGUAAAACUUCUUUUAUAGGGGAAUAAAGUGGAGGACGUGUCCUUUUUUGUAUGUACCCUAUGAAUAAGCAUCGGCUAACUCCGUGCC
rnacentral:rRNA from 1 species